rnacentral:rRNA from 1 species
UGGGGAAUUUUGGACAAUGGGCGAAAGCCUGAUCCAGCAAUGCCGCGUGUGUGAAGAAGGCCUUCGGGUUGUAAAGCACUUUUGUCCGGAAAGAAAUCCUCUGGGUUAAUACCUCGGGGGGAUGACGGUACCGGAAGAAUAAGCACCGGCUAACUACGUGCCAGCAGCCGCGGUAAUACGUAGGGUGCAAGCGUUAAUCGGAAUUACUGGGCGUAAAGCGUGCGCAGGCGGUUUUGUAAGACGGAUGUGAAAUCCCCGGGCUUAACCUGGGAACUGCAUUCGUGACUGCAAGGCUAGAGUAUGGCAGAGGGGGGUUAGAAUUCCACGUGUAGCAGUGAAAUGCGUAGAGAUGUGGAGGAAUACCGAUGGCGAAGGCAGCCCCCUGGGCCAAUACUGACGCUCAUGCACGAAAGCGUGGGGAGCAAACAGGAUUAGAUACCCUGGUAGUCCACGCCCUAAACGAUGUCAACUAGUUGUUGGGGAUUCAUUUCCUUAGUAACGUAGCUAACGCGUGAAGUUGACCGCCUGGGGAGUACGGUCGCAAGAUUAAAACUUAAAGGAAUUGACGGGGUCAUAGCUGUUUCCU